CUGGAGUCAGUUUGAAAACUGUUCAGAGGAAGGUCUGAAAUCAGAUUUACAUCCAGAUACCUUGACUCCAUUUUCAAGCAUUAGAACUGGAGUAUUUACAGACAGGAAACUCCAACCCUUCAAGAUUUAACAGAGUCACUCGAUUCAUCAGGACCUGAAUUCCAUCGGACUUCGAAUGUGGAAAGAGAAAAGUUUGUCUACUCUGCAGGAUGAUUUCAAACAUCAGUGUGACUGGAAAAGUGCUGGUGUGAGUGCCCCAGGGAACUGAAUGUGGAAAGAGCUUUAAUCAGUUACACAGCCUGAAAAAACAUCACAUCGUUCACAGCGGGGAGAAACCGUACACGUGUUCUGUGUGUGAACAAAGCUUUACUGAUCAUCCAACCUGGAGAGACACGUGGAUAGCCGCACCAUGGAGAAACCGUGGAAAUGUGGGGACUGUGGAAAGGGCUUCAGAUCCCCAUCUGUGCUGGAAAUUCAUCGACGUAGUCACACCAGGGAGAGACCAUUCACCUGCUCCGUAUGUGGGAAGGGAUUCACUCAGUUAUCCAGCUUACAUACCCACCAGCGAAUUCAUACUGGGGAGAAACCAUUUAAAUGCUCUCACUGCGGAACUGGGUUCAGGCGAUCAUCUCAACUCACUGCGCACCAGCAAGUUCACACUGGGGAGAGACCGUUCAUUUGCUCUGAGUGUGGGAAGGGAUUCAUUCAGUCAUCCCACCUGAUGACACACCAGUACACUCACACUGGGGAGAGGCCAUUCAUCUGCUCUGAGUGUGGGAAGGGAUUUGCUCAGUCAUUCACACUGAUGAUACAUCAGCGCACUCACACUGGGGAGAAGCCAUACACCUGCUCCGAGUGUGGGAAGGGAUUCCAUGUGUCAAGCACCCUGCGGACCCACCAGCGAUUUCACACUGGGGAGAGGCCGUUCACCUGCCCCGAGUGUGGAAAGAGAUUCAUUUGGUCAUCUCAUUUGCACAGACACCAACGCACUCACAGUGGGGAGAGGCCAUUCACCUGCUCUGAGUGUGGGAAGGGAUUUACUCAGUCACACCACCUGCGGAGACACCAGCGAGUUCACGAGUAACUGCAGGGGUUGGAUUCUGCUGUUUCUGCUGCUGUUAAUCACAUCCGGGGCUGAACGUGUGGUUUAAUCCUGAGGUGUGUGAGAAAUGUGUCCCAGCCGCUCUCUCCCAUGGUUCUGACAUCCUAGACAUAGAACAAAAGGCUUCUUUACAACUAUACUUAGAAUCAGGAAGAACAACGGUGAAUGCUGGAAACGUGCUGUAAAAUCGGAGAUUGGUGGAAAAUUGUGAUCUGUUCCUGAGUGAAAGUGAAACAGCAGGUUUAAGUUUCCAACUUAACUCUCCGAACGCAUUCCUGGCCAGCCUCACACAGUCAACCUCCCUGUGAUCUUGAGAUCGUUCAAAACUCUGCUGUCCAUGUACUUACUACUCCAAGUCUUGUUCACUCAUCACCCCUGUGCUCACUGAACUACAAA